AAAAAAAAAAAAAAAAAAAAUUAUCCUCCAGAAAAACAGAAUACCCAAUUUUUUGUUACUGUUACACAAUCCUGUAUAUGCAAUCCUCUUCCAUGCCCAAGACUAACAAUCUUAAUGAUCACUCUAUUCAAUCUCAAAGUUCGAUAACAGAGCUUGUGAACUGCCCACCCCAGAACUCCAAUCCCUUGAAAGAUGGCCCAUUCUCCGCUUUGCUCCAGAAUCAAAACCCUUGUCCGCUACAACGAAGAAGGCAUUGUAGAGGGACAAGAUCUCUGCGUGAGAGAUAAGGGAAGCUGAAGAAUAACAAAGAUUUGAUACUUCGUUGAUUCUUUUUUACUGUGUAGAUUGUUCGUGUGUUUUUUUCUUUGUUCUUGAUGGUGUGUGUGUGAGAGAGUAUUUUCUGAGAAAGAGAGCUUUCGUUCUCUAUAUCUCUCUUUCUUGUUUGUACGCAAUUUUUUUUUUUUUUAAGGAAAUGUUCGGAAGUUCCACGCGAG
rnacentral:misc_RNA from 1 species